GACGCGUUAUCCGGAAUUAUUGGGCGUAAAGGGCACGUAGGCGGACAAAUAAGUUUGAUGUCAAAUAUGAUGGCUCAACCAUCAAGAGGCGUUGAAAACUGUUUAUCUAGAAUCUCGGAGAGGUAAGUGGAAUUCCAUGUGUAGCGGUGGAAUGCGUAGAUAUAUGGAGGAACACCAAUGGCGAAGGCAGCUUACUGGACGAAGAUUGACGCUGAGGUGCGAAAGCGUGGGUAGCAAACAGGAUUAGAUACCCUGGUAG
rnacentral:rRNA from 1 species